UACGUAGGGGGCAAGCGUUGUCCGGAAUCAUUGGGCGUAAAGCGCAUGUAGGCGGUUGGAUAAGUCCGUUGUUAAAGCCCCUGGCUCAACUGGGGGAGGUCAAUGGAGACUAUUCGACUUGAGGGCAACAGAGGCACAUGGAACUCCCGGUGUAGCGGUGGAAUGCGUAGAGAUCGGGAAGAACACCCGUGGCGAAGGCGGUGUGCUGGGUUGCAACUGACGCUGAGACGCGAAAGCGUGGGGAGCGAACAGG
rnacentral:rRNA from 1 species